GUUCAAUAAGUUGUCCAGAAAAACCUACAGAAGCGGGGGCAAUAAGACCAAGCCUUACGUUAGGCCUGAGACAGAGUACACAGCGUGUCAAGAAGCGGGGCCAUCCGGAAUAACACAGAACAAAGUCGAUCACACAACCCCUUACCACUACGGAUCCCUUGAAGACCCCUUGACGUUUUUGGAAUAUUUACGUGAUAUUGAACUCCCAGAACAACAAGAAAAACCACAACCUUUG